CCUAGUAAGUCCAUUGUUCAAUAUCAACCCCCACGCGAUCUCUCUCUCUCUCUCUCUCUCUCUCUCUCUCUCUGUGAAGAAGAUGAGACAGCCAAGACGUUCUCUCUCUGUCUACUGAGGAGGUUUCGGAGGUAGAAACAAACAAUGGAAUUGGAGGCAGGGUAAGAGGCGCAGGGAGAGGUCACUCUGGUGGUGUACGAGGAAGAGGACGCGGUAAUGGCGGCGGUGGCCGUGGCGGGGCUGGGAUGGGAGGAGGAAACAAGGUGCUCGUCCUACCGGUCGUCACGAAGUUGUUUUCUACGCUAAGGGCAAAGGGGAUGCUAUUCUUACCAAGUGCUUGGUCCCCGGGGAAUCCGUCUACAAUGAGAAAGCGAGUCUCCGUUCAGGAUGAGGAUGGAACCAAAGCUGAAUACAGAGUUUGGAACCCCUACCGGUCAAAGUUGGGGGCUGCCAUAGAAGGGGUUCUCAAUGACAUCUGGAUUGUGAGUUUUCCUUUUGUUAUUGUUGUUUCUUUUUAUUUUUAUUUUUAUAUUUUUGAAAACUUGCCGAAUUAUGUUUGAAUUUAUUUAUUUUCAUCC